AGCAUGUUUUUUAGGUUAAGGACAAGCACUGCUUUGGUAUAAGGCUGCCUGGAUAUUCAGGUUUCCUCUGGCCACAGCAAUCCAAGGCAAAGGCUGCUGUAUGCCCUGGCCAGGGAUCUCCAUACCCUAACAAGUUGGUAAUUCAAAAUGUAGAGGUGGACCUUGAAGACUUCUGAGGAACUUUAGUCUUUUCUCUCCUACCAAAAAACUGGCCCAGGUUCUUGCAGAUGCCCCAGUUCCUAUAGUUUCUCCCAGCAACCAGACAGAAGGUACGGUGCUGUGCUAUGAAAAUGUAAAAU
rnacentral:lncRNA from 1 species